GGCCCAGUGGCCUAAUGGAUAAGGCACCAGCUUCUGGAGCUGGGGGUUGUGGGUUCGAGUCCCAUCUGGGGCU
rnacentral:tRNA from 1 species